rnacentral:tRNA from 3 species
CGGGACGUAGCGCAGCCUGGCAGCGCACCCGCUUGGGGUGUGGGGGGUCGGCGGUUCAAAUCCGCCCGUCCCGACCA